UGAAACCAUUCGUCGGGGACACAUGUCAUCGCAGCGGGAAGAUGGUGAUUCCACGUAUACCCCCGCGUCAUCAAAAGGAGGUGGAGGCUCAAGUUGUUCUUCACGGAGGCGUCCAACAAGCAACAGAAUAACAAGGUCGCCGUCGAGGUUUGGUUUCUCCGAACCGCCGGUCAGUGUCCGUCCUUGGUUGCCGACGCAGUCCGAAUCGACGCAUUCGUGUGCCAGGCGAGCAACCCCAGCCCAUUCAAACAGCUUACCUCAGCGAACCAAUGUCGAUCCAGGCCAGUCCCUUGCCGGUACUGGAUCCUCCUGUGCCCGUGUUGCAAACGAUUGCAGCCCAAUCGUACUGAGUGUUGUCACCAGCGUGUCCGGCCUAAAUAAAGAAAUUCGAAGGCUCACCGAAUGCAUAUGCUGACACAAUCAGGUCGUGACAGACUUUUAGAAGGCGUUGACUAUGUUGGCGAAGAUUUAGGAUAGGGAGCAAUAGUGUGACCGGAAAAAUGGAGUCAGGUGCCCGUGUUGGAAUGGGAUCCCGUCAAAGCGGCGGCUACGACCAGAGGAUUUUCAACAAGAUGAUCUUAUUUCUCAGGAAACGGACCCGUCGCAGCACCAUGAUCCGACCUAUGCGCCGACGCUGGAUGCAAACUUUAGCAUGGAUCAUAUGCCUUUCAGAUCCAAGAGGUCUAAGAGAGCCCCUCGCAAUCGGCGAUCCGCCCGAGACAAGACGCAGCCGAAAAUACCCCAUAACUUGGUUGAUCUAACCGGCGAACGAGAAUGGCAGAGUCGACGUCCUCAUCAUCCACGUAGCAAGUUGCCGCGGCGCUCUAACUGCCUACAGAAGCACUACAAUUACCUCACCCUGGUUUGUAGCGACGGAGUUGUGCACGAGUCGGCUCUUUUAUGCAUGAAUGCGGACAAGAUCCCCAAGGCUUUCAACCUAGCCUUCGUACCAACACGGAGCAUGGACCUCACAGGGGUUGAGCUUGCUGUUAAUAGCAAGGAUCAUCCGAAGAGUGAAAUUCUGGCUGACGUUGAUCACUGUGUUGCGGAUAGAACAUCAUUAUUAACGCUUGGCCCAAAUUAAAGAGUCAUGGAUGACGUUAUUACUAUCGUGGCAACGAUGUUGUCGAAGACCUCCAGUCAGCACCAGUGGUUCAUGCCGACUAUGAUCAGGGUG